rnacentral:misc_RNA from 1 species
GAUGAAGAACGUAGCGAAAUGCGAUACUUGGUGUGAAUUGCAGAAUCCCGUGAACCAUCGAGUCUUUGAACGCAAGUUGCGCCCGAAGCCAUUAGGCCGAGGGCACGCCUGCCUGGGCGUCACACGUCGUUGCCCCCCCAUCUACUCCUUCGGGAUUGCGGGGGGCGGAUGAUGGCCUCCCGUGCGCCUUGUCGCGCGGUUGGCAUAAAUACCAAGUCCUCGGCGACGCACGCCACGACAAUCGGUGGUUGCGAAACCUCGGUUGCCUGUCGUGUGCGGUCGUCGCGCAUCGAGGGCUCGAAAAAAUUGUCGGCUUCGGCUCGGCUUUCAACGCGACCCCAGGUCAGGCGGGGUUACCCGCUGAAUUUAAGCAUAUCAAUAAGCGGAGGA